ensembl:snRNA U6 U6 spliceosomal RNA
GUGCUCACACCAGAAGCACAUAUACUAAAAUGGAAUGUUACAGAGAAGCUUAGCAUGGUCCCUGCGCAUGGAUGAUAUACACAUUUGUGAAGUGUUUCAUAUUUUU